rnacentral:rRNA from 1 species
UACAGAGGACCCGAGCGUUAAUCGGAAUCACUGGGCUUAAAGGGUGCGUAGGCGGACCCGAAGGUGCAUCGUGAAAUCCCUUGGCUCAACCAAGGAAUCGCGGUGCAUACCACGGGUCUUGAGGCGAGUAGGGGCGGUCGGAACGCUCGGUGGAGCGGUGAAAUGCGUAGAUAUCGAGCGGAACGCCGAAGGUGAAGACAGGCCGCUAGGCUCGUCCUGACGCUGAGGCACGAAAGCGUGGGGAUCAAACAGG